rnacentral:rRNA from 1 species
AAAGCCGGAUUAAUACCGCAUACGCUCUGAGGAGGAAAGCGGGGGACCGAAAGGCCUCGCGCUCAAGGAGCGGCCGAUGGCGGAUUAGCUAGUUGGUGGGGUAAAGGCCCACCAAGGCGACGAUCCGUAGCUGGUCUGAGAGGACGACCAGCCACACUGGGACUGAGACACGGCCCAGACUCCUACGGGAGGCAGCAGUGGGGAAUUUUGGACAAUGGGCGCAAGCCUGAUCCAGCAAUGCCGCGUGUGUGAAGAAGGCCUUCGGGUUGUAAAGCACUUUUGUCCGGAAAGAAAACUUCGUCCCUAAUAUGGAUGGAGGAUGACGGUACCGGAAGAAUAAGCACCGGCUAACUACGUGCCAGCAGCCGCGGUAAUACGUAGGGUGCGAGCGUUAAUCGGAAUUACUGGGCGUAAAGCGUGCGCAGGCGGUGAUGUAAGACCGAUGUGAAAUCCCCGGGCUUAACCUGGGAACUGCAUUGGUGACUGCAUUGCUGGAGUAUGGCAGAGGGGGGUGGAAUUCCACGUGUAGCAGUGAAAUGCGUAGAGAUGUGGAGGAACACCGAUGGCGAAGGCAGCCCCCUGGGCCAAUACUGACGCUCAGC